rnacentral:rRNA from 1 species
GACGAACGCUGGCGGCGUGCCUAAUACAUGCAAGUCGAGCGGACUUUCAAGAAGCUUGCUUUUUGAAAGUUAGCGGCGGACGGGUGAGUAACACGUGGGCAACCUGCCUGCAAGGCGGGGAUAACUCCGGGAAACCGGGGCUAAUACCGGAUAAUAUCUUCCUUCGCAUGAAGGAAGGUUGAAAGGCGGCGCAAGCUGCCGCUUGCAGAUGGGCCCGCGGCGCAUUAGCUAGUUGGUGAGGUAACGGCUCACCAAGGCGACGAUGCGUAGCCGACCUGAGAGGGUGAUCGGCCACACUGGGACUGAGACACGGCCCAGACUCCUACGGGAGGCAGCAGUAGGGAAUCUUCCGCAAUAGACGAAAGUCUGACGGAGCAACGCCGCGUGAGCGAAGAAGGUCUUCGGAUCGUAAAGCUCUGUUGUCAGGGAAGAACAAGUACCGUUCGAACAGGGCGGUACCUUGACGGUACCUGACCAGAAAGCCACGGCUAACUACGUG